GGGACACGUGGUAUCCUGUCUGAAUAUGGGGGGACCAUCCUCCAAGGCUAAAUACUCCUGACUGACCGAUAGUGAACCAGUACCGUGAGGGAAAGGCGAAAAGAACCCCGGCGAGGGGAGUGAAAAAGAACCUGAAACCGUGUACGUACAAGCAGUGGGAGCCUCUUAAUGGGGUGACUGCGUACCUUUUGUAUAAUGGGUCAGCGACUUAUAUUCUGUAGCAAGGUUAACCGAAUAGGGGAGCCGAAGGGAAACCGAGUCUUAACUGGGCGUUAAGUUGCAGGGUAUAGACCCGAAACCCGGUGAUCUAGCCAUGGGCAGGUUGAAGGUUGGGUAACACUAACUGGAGGACCGAACCGACUAAUGUUGAAAAAUUAGCGGAUGACUUGUGGCUGGGGGUGAAAGGCCAAUCAAACCGGGAGAUAGCUGGUUCUCCCCGAAAGCUAUUUAGGUAGCGCCUCGUGAAUUCAUCUCCGGGGGUAGAGCACUGUUUCGGCAAGGGGGUCAUCCCGACUUACCAACCCGAUGCAAACUGCGAAUACCGGAGAAUGUUAUCACGGGAGACACACGGCGGGUGCUAACGUCCGUCGUGAAGAGGGAAACAACCCAGACCGCCAGCUAAGGUCCCAAAGUCAUGGUUAAGUGGGAAACGAUGUGGGAAGGCCCAGACAGCCAGGAUGUUGGCUUAGAAGCAGCCAUCAUUUAAAGAAAGCGUAAUAGCUCACUGGUCGAGUCGGCCUGCGCGGAAGAUGUAACGGGGCUAAACCAUGCACCGAAGCUGCGGCAGCGACACUAUGUGUUGUUGGGUAGGGGAGCGUUCUGUAAGCCUGUGAAGGUGGCCUGUGAGGGUUGCUGGAGGUAUCAGAAGUGCGAAUGCUGACAUAAGUAACGAUAAAGCGGGUGAAAAGCCCGCUCGCCGGAAGACCAAGGGUUCCUGUCCAACGUUAAUCGGGGCAGGGUGAGUCGACCCCUAAGGCGAGGCCGAAAGGCGUAGUCGAUGGGAAACAGGUUAAUAUUCCUGUACUUGGUGUUACUGCGAAGGGGGGACGGAGAAGGCUAUGUUGGCCGGGCGACGGUUGUCCCGGUUUAAGCGUGUAGGCUGGUUUUCCAGGCAAAUCCGGAAAAUCAAGGCUGAGGCGUGAUGACGAGGCACUACGGUGCUGAAGUAACAAAUGCCCUGCUUCCAGGAAAAGCCUCUAAGCAUCAGGUAACAUCAAAUCGUACCCCAAACCGACACAGGUGGUCAGGUAGAGAAUACCAAGGCGCUUGAGAGAACUCGGGUGAAGGAACUAGGCAAAAUGGUGCCGUAACUUCGGGAGAAGGCACGCUGAUAUGUAGGUGAAGCGACUUGCUCGUGGAGCUGAAAUCAGUCGAAGAUACCAGCUGGCUGCAACUGUUUAUUAAAAACACAGCACUGUGCAAACACGAAAGUGGACGUAUACGGUGUGACGCCUGCCCGGUGCCGGAAGGUUAAUUGAUGGGGUUAGCGGUAACGCGAAGCUCUUGAUCGAAGCCCCGGUAAACGGCGGCCGUAACUAUAACGGUCCUAAGGUAGCGAAAUUCCUUGUCGGGUAAGUUCCGACCUGCACGAAUGGCGUAAUGAUGGCCAGGCUGUCUCCACCCGAGACUCAGUGAAAUUGAACUCGCUGUGAAGAUGCAGUGUACCCGCGGCAAGACGGAAAGACCCCGUGAACCUUUACUAUAGCUUGACACUGAACAUUGAGCCUUGAUGUGUAGGAUAGGUGGGAGGCUUUGAAGUGUGG
rnacentral:rRNA from 1 species